GUUAUAUAUUCGUGAGAAUUCGUGAGAACCCAAACCAAAUAAGGGACGCUGGAGUAAAAUAAUGGAAGGUUAAGAUGAUCUGUGUUAUUUUUUUUAAUACUAAAAAAAAAAAAAACAAAAAAACUGGGGUAUCACAUUUUAGGGGUAACAUAAUUUACUUCCUCUAACCAGAUUGAACACGUGAUUCUGGUGAAACCUUAUCCUUAUACUCUUCUCUCCCCCAUUGUUCCCAUCUCUUACCAUCCGUAUUCCACAAUCGUCAAUGACGAAUCAAAGCAUCAACAAAUCGAUGUUGUGUCAUGGAUGAACAGAUCGAUGAUAAUCCCCUAACGCAAUCUCAAUCGUCUCCACGAUCCAGGAAACACUUUUUUGAGGAAGUUGUAAUUGUGGAUUGAGAGGCUGUUGAAGAAUGAAAACUUAAAGGCGAAGGAAGUAUCUCCGAAUGAAAUCACAAUCAUCUAGUGGUUUUUUGAUUAUCGUUCAUCUCUAUCCUCCUUUCUUUGAAAUAGGAAAAAAACCAAUUGAGCAUUGGAAUUAAUUAAAUUGAAUCAAGUCUUUCAGGUGGAUCAAGGCCCAUAAAUAACCUCUCAUACAAUCGAUUUCAUUUAAGAUCAAACACUAUAUUAGAUUGAAGGUGGCGACAUCCUAACGAGGUUGAAGAGGAUAACACCCACAUUAAUUUGACGAUAAUGUUAGGUUGUGUAUCCUAAGAACUUAGUAAUAGACUUCCAUAUAUAGUUGAAUCGUUCUUAUGAGGAAUACCUUUUCGAUAUCUUAUGCUUCCAUUGUCUUCUUUCCAGAUCUCUGAUUAUUUUUAAUGGCAGAUCAUUAUCAAAAAUGGCGUUAACCAGCAAUCAAUUCCUUUUAUCUUCAUUUGUAAAAGUUAUCGUCUACGAGCCAAGUGACUGCAUCAAAAUCCGCUUCUGAUUUCAUUUAUUCGUCUUAAUAAGUCGCUCCCUCCUUCCUAGUUUUUGUUUUUUUAUGCGAAUUCAUUUAUGUUUAUAUUGUAUUUUUUUAGGAAAAGAAAAGAAGACGUAUGAAUACAUAGUAUACCAUACCAAUGCUUUAUAGCUUUAUCAAACACUGUUGCCUACUGAAUUCUAUUAAAUUGACAACACAAUGACCUUUUUUACUUUUCUUCUUAACAAUUGUACUUCACCAAGUCCAGUGAGUGUUUGUGAUUACUUUUUACUCUCAAAAGUUUUUUUUUUAAAAGUUUUUUUGAAAAAGCAAAAAUCAAAAGUUGUUUCUAAAAAUUGUUUGGGUAAUAUUUUUUGAAUUUUGAGUAUGAUUCAGCUUUAAAAGUUUAAAAGUUAUAAAAAGUCACACUUUCAUGACUUUUGAAAACCCAUUCUUUUCGUCUUUACACAAAGUUAUUUUGAAAAGAACUUUUUCAUCUUCGAAACAUCUUUUUAACUUUUUAGAAAAGUUAAAAGACAAAAAUUAUUUAAAAAGUAUUCCCAAACACCCUACAAAAAGUUAAGCUAUAAUGAUUAAUGCAAACCUGUUACUGGAGGCUUAAUAUUUAACGCCCUAAAUACCAUAAUAAAAUUUUCAUUUUAAAAUAAAAUAAACAUCCAUUUUAUAAAAAUAUAAUCAAUGUAAAACCAUUUGUUCUAAUUUAAAAUCAGGGUUAUAGGAAAAAACAACACUGAAUCUCGAAUCAUAAAAACUGUUGAUUUAAGUACCUGAAAACAUUAAAUCCACAACUAUAAGCCCAAAGCUUAGUGAGUUUUCCAAAUUACCGCACAUAACAAAAUAAAUCGAACAUGUAACGGGUCCAAUCAAUCCUUAGACUAAAAUACCCUGCCCCAAUCAGUCAUUGGACUGGAAUGCGAUCAUGUAACGGGUCCAAUCAGUCCUCAGACUGGAAUACACUGGCCCAGUUAGUCAUCAGAAUGGAAUGCCAUCGUGUAACUGAAAGAUCUAGUAUGUUCAAGAGUUAUAUUAAAAUGAUAUUGCUAAAUAAAAUAUGAUCGUAAGAGUCACACUAACAACAACUUGAUACAAAUGAUUACUUAUUAGAAAUUGUUUUAAUAAAUAUUCAGAAACUCUUAUAAUAAAUUGGGAAAAUAUUUAUUUUAAGGAAAUAAUUAUUUUACAAUACAAGGAACACAUUAUUUCAUAAGGUAUGAAUUAAUAAUUUAUGUACAAUUUUUUGGACUAGAUAAACCUUUUGUAUUUUAGCAAAAGACAGAGUUUAUAUCUUAUAAACUUUGAUUUUAUAAAAUAUAAACUAUUUGUUUAAUCAAAAGCACUUAAUGGUUAAGGACUCUUGGUUUAACAUUCUACUUUAAACAAGAGAGAGUGCAUUGUUUUGAAUCACUUCUUGCUUGUAAUUGUCGAGCUAAACUCUCCCUUCUCCAUCUCUUCUCUAGUUUUGCACUUUGAAGAACUUGUUGCUUGGUUACACUCUCUUGGAACAUAUAUUUGGAUAUUUGUUCUAGGCUUAAGAGUUAACUUAAGAACUAGCAUUCCAAUUAAGUUAGAUCAUUGUUGGUGUCUCAAGGGUUCAACCUCUCUCCAUCAACUACCUCGCCUCCCCUGGAGGACCCAAAGUUCAUCAAAGAUUGUUGUUACGUCUUUCUUCUAUGGUUGUGCUUAAAUAUUUCUAUAACUUGUAAGACGAUGCUUGAUGGGUUGUAAAUUGUUUAUUAAGUUCGAAAUUUAUAGUCUUCUGUUUGCCA